rnacentral:rRNA from 1 species
UACGUAGGGUGCAAGCGUUAAUCGGAAUUACUGGGCGUAAAGGGUGCGCAGGCGGUUCUGUAAGUCAGAUGUGAAAUCCCCGGGCUUAACCUGGGAAUUGCGUUUGAAACUGCAGAACUAGAGUGCGGCAGAGGGAGGUGGAAUUCCAUGUGUAGCAGUGAAAUGCGUAGAGAUAUGGAAGAACAUCGAUGGCGAAGGCAACCUCCUGGGCUAGCACUGACGCUCAUGCACGAAAGCGUGGGGAGCAAACAGG